rnacentral:rRNA from 1 species
CUGGUGCUUGCACCGGGUGGAUGAGUGGCGAACGGGUGAGUAACACGUGAGUAACCUGCCCCUGACUUCGGGAUAAGCCCGGGAAACUGGGUCUAAUACCGGAUACGACUGCCGGACGCAUGUCUGGUGGUGGAAAGUUUUUUCGGUUGGGGAUGGGCUCGCGGCCUAUCAGUUUGUUGGUGAGGUAAUGGCUCACCAAGACGACGACGGGUAGCCGGCCUGAGAGGGCGACCGGCCACACUGGGACUGAGACACGGCCCAGACUCCUACGGGAGGCAGCAGUGGGGAAUAUUGCACAAUGGGGGAAACCCUGAUGCAGCGACGCAGCGUGCGGGAUGACGGCCUUCGGGUUGUAAACCGCUUUCAGCAGGGAAGAAGCGCAAGUGACGGUACCUGCAGAAGAAGUACCGGCUAACUACGUGCCAGCAGCCGCGGUAAUACGUAGGGUACGAGCGUUGUCCGGAAUUAUUGGGCGUAAAGAGCUCGUAGGUGGUUGGUCACGUCUGCUGUGGAAACGCAACGCUUAACGUUGCGCGUGCAGUGGGUACGGGCUGACUAGAGUGCAGUAGGGGAGUCUGGAAUUCCUGGUGUAGCGGUGAAAUGCGCAGAUAUCAGGAGGAACACCGGUGGCGAAGGCGGGACUCUGGGCUGUAACUGACACUGAGGAGCGAAAGCAUGGGGAGCGAACAGGAUUAGAUACCCUGGUAGUCCAUGCCGUAAACGUUGGGCACUAGGUGUGGGGGGCAUUCCACGUUCUCCGCGCCGUAGCUAACGCAUUAAGUGCCCCGCCUGGGGAGUACGGUCGCAAGGCUAAAACUCAAAGGAAUUGACGG